rnacentral:rRNA from 1 species
UAAUUGAAGAGUUUGAUCAUGGCUCAGAUUGAACGCUGGCGGCAGGCCUAACACAUGCAAGUCGAGCGGCAGCACAGAGGAACUUGUUCCUUGGGUGGCGAGCGGCGGACGGGUGAGUAAUGCCUGGGAAAUUGCCCGGUAGAGGGGGAUAACCAUUGGAAACGAUGGCU